CCUACGGGAGGCAGCAGUGGGGGAUAUUGCACAAUGGGGGGAACCCUGAUGCAGCGACGCCGCGUGGGUGAAGAAGCGCCUCGGCGCGUAAAGCCCUGUCAGCAGGGAAGAAAAUGACGGUAACUGAAGAAGAAGCCCCGGCUAACUACGUGCCAGCAGCCGCGGGAAUACGUAGGGGGCAAGCGUUAGCCGGAUUUACUGGGUGUAAAGGGGGCGCAGACGGCGAUGCAAGCCAGGAGUGAAAGCCCGGGGCCCAACCCCGGGACUGCUCUUGGAACUGCGUGGCUGGAGUGCAGGAGGGGCAGGCGGAAUUCCUGGUGUAGCGGUGAAAUGCGUAGAUAUCAGGAGGAACACCAGUGGCGAAGGCGGCCUGCUGGACUGCAACUGACGUUGAGGCCCGAAAGCGUGGGGAGCAAACAGGAUUAGAUACCCGAGUAGUC
rnacentral:rRNA from 1 species